GGCGAGUGGCGAACGGGUGAGUAACAUAUCGGAACGUACCGAGCAGUGGGGGAUAACUAAUCGAAAGAUUAGCUAAUACCGCAUAUAUUCUGAGGAAGAAAGCAGGGGACCAUUUGGCCUUGCGCUGUUUGAGCGGCCGAUAUCUGAUUAGCUAGUUGGUGGGGUAAAGGCCUACCAAGGCGACGAUCAGUAGCGGGUCUGAGAGGAUGAUCCGCCACACUGGGACUGAGACACGGCCCAGACUCCUACGGGAGGCAGCAGUGGGGAAUUUUGGACAAUGGGCGCAAGCCUGAUCCAGCCAUGCCGCGUGUCUGAAGAAGGCCUUCGGGUUGUAAAGGACUUUUGUCAGGGAAGAAAAGGAUAGGGUUAAUACCCCUGUCUGAUGACGGUACCUGAAGAAUAAGCACCGGCUAACUACGUGCCAGCAGCCGCGGUAAUACGUAGGGUGCGAGCGUUAAUCGGAAUUACUGGGCGUAAAGCGGGCGCAGACGGUUACUUAAGCAGGAUGUGAAAUCCCCGGGCUCAACCUGGGAACUGCGUUCUGAACUGGGUGACUAGAGUGUGUCAGAGGGAGGUAGAAUUCCACGUGUAGCAGUGAAAUGCGUAGAGAUGUGGAGGAAUACCGAUGGCGAAGGCAGCCUCCUGGGAUAACACUGACGUUCAUGCCCGAAAGCGUGGGUAGCAAACAGGAUUAGAUACCCUGGUAGUCCACGCCCUAAACGAUGUCGAUUAGCUGUUGGGCAGCAUGACUGCUUAGUAGCGAAGCUAACGCGUGAAAUCGACCGCCUGGGGAGUACGGUCGCAAGAUUAAAACUCAAAGGAAUUGACGGGGACCCGCACAAGCGGUGGAUGAUGUGGAUUAAUUCGAUGCAACGCGAAGAACCUUACCUGGUCUUGACAUGUACGGAACCCUCCAGAGACGGAGGGGUGCCUUCGGGAGCCGUAACACAGGUGCUGCAUGGCUGUCGUCAGCUCGUGUCGUGAGAUGUUGGGUUAAGUCCCGCAACGAGCGCAACCCUUGUCAUUAGUUGCCAUCAUUAAGUUGGGCACUCUAAUGAGACUGCCGGUGACAAGCCGGAGGAAGG
rnacentral:rRNA from 1 species